rnacentral:rRNA from 1 species
AGCGAACGCUGGCGGUAGGCCUAACACAUGCAAGUCGAACGACAGCACAGUAAGAGCUUGCUCUUACGGGUGGCGAGUGGCGGCCGGGUGAGGAAUACAUCGGAAUCUACUUUUUCGUGGGGGAUAACGUAGGGAAACUUACGCUAAUACCGCAUACGACCUACGGGUGAAAGCAGGGGAUCUUCGGACCUUGCGCGAUUGAAUGAGCCGAUGUCGGAUUAGCUAGUUGGCGGGGUAAGGGCCCACCAAGGCGACGAUCCGUAGCUGGUCUGAGAGGAUGAUCAGCCACACUGGAACUGAGACACGGUCCAGACUCCUACGGGAGGCAGCAGUGGGGAAUAUUGGACAAUGGGCGCAAGCCUGAUCCAGCCAUACCGCGUGGGUGAAGAAGGCCUUCGGGUUGUAAAGCCCUUUUGUUGGGAAAGAAAAGCAGCAGGUUAAUACCCCGCUGUUCUGACGGUACCCAAAGAAUAAGCACCGGCUAACUUCGUG